GCAGUGCAGCCAUUUUGGGUGAUGCUGAUGGAUACCUGCAGGGUCCGCUAUGUUGCUUUGGGGGAGGCAGACCCCAUGAGGAGGCAGACCCCAUGGUAGACUUUCCUGGACAAGAAGAGCUAAACUAGCUUGAUGUCAAGGCCUCCUCAGAAACCACCAGGGUGGAGACGUCCAUCAAAAUGCCAUUGCCUGCUCCUCUGCCUGGAUUUGAGGACUCUUCUGACAAGAGGAGGCUUCCUCGGGAGCCUGAAAGUCUUACCAGGCUGGAGCCACAAGAUCUUUCUUCAGAGAUAUCGAAGGUCUCAAAUCCUAGGGCCUCAAAGCCUGCUGGAAAGAGAAGUGGUAAGACACCAAAAGGCCCUAAAAGGCCCCAGCAGCGUAAACCUCCAUCCACCCCUGUGGUUCCUGGUCUUUUAGAUCAAUCCAACCCUCUAUCUGCCCCCAUGCCUAAGAAAUGAAGUCAAAAGUCUAAGGGAGACCUGCUACUGCUGAAGUUGUCCAAAGGCCCAGAUCAGCCAGAGUCUCCACAUCCAAAGAGAUCCCCUGAGGACUUUGGGUCCCCUUCUGGGGAAUGACCCCCACUGAGGGGCUGCCCAAGAACUGACUGAAGAGCUCUCAACAGCCUUGCCCACUCCAGUGUCUGGUGGUCCUCCUGAGUCCCAAGAUGGGAAGGUGCUGUUAUUCAAUCUGCCACAUCCUGAAGCCCUGUUGGUUCAGCAGCCCCCAGAUACUAUGAAGCCUGCCGUCUAUAAGGUACAGUGUUUGGAAACCCUUCAGGUGGGGUCUGUGCAAGCUUCAGACCCCUCUGAGUGUGGUCAGUGCCUUAGCCUGGCCUGGAUGCCUACCAGGCCCCACCACCACCUGGCUGCUGGAUAUUAUAAUGGAAUGGUGGUUUUCUGGAACCUUCCCACUAACUCACCCCUCCAACAGAUACGGCUCUCAAAUGGCUCCUUAAAGCUCUACCCCUUUCAGUGUUUUCUAGCCCACGAUCAGGCUGCAUAAAAUUAAAUUCAGUGGUACAAAGCUAACUGUCAUUUCCUGGUCUCUGCAGGGAGUGACUGGAAAAUCAAAUUCUGGGAUCUUCGACGACCUCACUAACCAAUAAACUGUAUCAAGUGCUUCUUGAGCUCAGAACUAUCCUGGCUGCUCCCCUACAAUGGUAUCACUGUGCCUCAGGAUAACUGCUAUGCCUCCUAUGGUCUCUGUGGAAUUCAUUAUUUCGAUGCUGGUUACCUUGGUUUUAAAGCCUACUUCACUGCCCGUUGAAAAGGCACUGUGUGGAGUCUUUCAGAUUCUGACUGGCUCAGGACAGUAGCAGCAGGAGAUAUAUCUGGGGAGCUCAUUGCAGCUGUAUUGCCUGAUAUGGCAUCGAACCCAAUCAAUGUCAAGAAGCCUGCAGAAAGGAGAUUUGCUAUAUAUAAAGCAGAUCUGAUACCAUACCAGAACAGUCCAGAAGAUCAAGACAACUCUUCUGCUUCAUCUGAGGCCCCCAAUCCUCCCAAAGCUAGAACAUACCCUGAAACCAUCACCCACCACUACUUGCUCUUUCAAGAUACAGAUUUGAGUUCCUGCCACAGUCUGCUCCAUAGAGAACCAAUGAUGGGCGUGCAGGAAGGAGAGGGGCAUUCUCAGCUUUGCUUUGACAGGCUGCAGCUGGAGGCUAUUCAUAAGGUACGUUUCAGCCCAAACCUGGACUCCUAUGGAUGGCUGGUAUCUGGGGGGCAGUCAGGGCUGGUUCAGAUCCAUUUUGUCCAUGGACUCACCUCCCCGCUGGCCCAUUGUGUGCAGCUUGAAAGCCAAGCCCACCUCAAUGCUAUGUUCCAACUGAAGGAUCCUUUCCAACUGAAGGGCCUGGUUUCUCUCCAGCCAGCUAUUGCCUUCUUCCCAACCCCUAG